GAGGAACGCUGGCGGCGUGCUUAACACAUGCAAGUCGAACGAUGAAGUUCCUUCGGGAAUGGAUUAGUGGCGAACGGCUGAGGAACACGUGAACAAUCUGCCCCUUACACGGGAAUAACUUCGGGAAACCGAAGCUAAUACCCGAUAUUGAAUUCGGUAGGCAUCUACUGAAUUUGAAAUGGUCCGCCGGUAAGGGAUGCGUUCGCGGCCUAUCAGCUUGUUGGUGAGGUAACGGCUCACCAAGGCGACGGCGGGUAGCCGGCCUGAGAGGGCGAACGGCCACACUGGGACUGAGACACGGCCCAGACUCCUACGGGAGGCAGCAGUGGGGAAUAUUGCGCAAUGGACGAAAGUCUGACGCAGCAACGACGCGUGAGGGAUGACGGCCUUCGGGUUGUAAACCUAUUUCAAUCGGGACGAAGCGAAAGUGACGGUACCGAUACAAGAAGCACCGGCUAACUAUGUGCCAGCCGCCGCCGUAA
rnacentral:rRNA from 1 species